CAAUCCUUUGCGGGAUUGGAUUUUUUUUAUAUUGGAAAUGCCAUAAAGCACGACCCAAGAUCCAUGAUAUGAAAACAAAAAUCAGAAUAACGAAGAAAAAGACAUCGUGAUGUAAGUCUGUUAUUCCUUGCAUUAUAGGUGUUGCUGCGUCUUGAGAUCCUAAUUGCCAUGGUUCCGCUGCAUCACAAGGAGCAAUUGUGAGGAAUAGCCGUUCUAGAACAGUAAUUUGGUUUGGUUUAUUCUUUGACUGCUCUGCUCCCAAAAAGAGAGACUUUUUCUUGCUCACGGAAAUCGCCGGUUGGGUUGGUCCAACCAAGAAAGACAUGGGAUGGGAUUCCUUGGGCAUUGCUUGGGCCGAGUUUAGUAAAGACUGGCUACAAUGAAAGAUCCUUCACUACACACAAACUAGAUAUCUGUCUUCAUUAUCAGCUAUGUCCUAUCGGAGAUAGAGCAGCGGGAGGUUGAGUCAAAAGCAAAAGCAAAUCUUUUGUUCCCUGUUUUGACAUAAUCAACUGAUUGAACAGACCAUCAAGACGCAGUUCACUACGCGCCGAAUGAUUCUUUGUUAUUUCCUCUUUCUUUGAGAAAAGUGUAAAACCUAUCUAAUUCAUCUUAGGUCCAUGUUAAUACGAAUUAGUGAAAUGAAGGAUGAUUAAGAAGUGGAAUAAGCAAGCAAAGAACGCAACCAAGAAAAUCGAAUCUCCUUGACCCGGGCACAGCGAACAGUUUCCAUGAUGGAAAAAGCAGCAUCGUUAACUCCAGAGAAGUAAGCGAAGCACCGUCGGCAAGAAGCAACGGCAUCGACAGUGGUAGUACGAUUCUAUCCAUUCAAGUCUUGGUCUACCGGUGGGUCGUCCUAUGAGUAACUCUCGCAAACACGCAUCGAGGAUUUGUUCUUGUGGGCCGGGGUAAAUAUUGCAGACCAGUGGAUCUGGUGGUCGACAAUCAUUCGAACUUGGUAAAGGUGUUAUACGCUCACCAAUUAGGUUGUGUUGAGCAUGAAUUCUGUGUUCCACUUGGGAUGCGGACUCUUAGGGGUCUAAUUUGCUUUUUAUUUGACAGUACAAAAAACAGGAAGAGGUGGUUCUUUUAUUGCUUUGACUUUGAGAAGAGGAAAAGAAAGCAAAAGCGAUUCCUGUAGUAGCGGCGGGCGAAAUGAGGCUGCCUAAACCGUGAAAACGAGGUUGUGUGAGAGCAAUACAAGCGUCGUGCAGCUAGGCGAAGCAACUCGAAUGCUGCAUUAGGUCCUUUCAGUUGGCUAGAAUCCAUUACUUCAACGAAACUAGAUCUUGUGGAAUCAUAUUGAAUAUUUGAUGAUACAUUCUGUACCUUGCUAAAAAACCGAAACAGUGUUCCAUUCUUUUCGGCGGCAUACUUCCGCAUUGGCGGCGAGUGGAGUGCCACAAUCCCAUUCAUCAUUUUCGAUCUACUUAAGACAAAGCCCAUAACCUUAAAGAUAUUGGAGAUAAAUCAAUUUGCAUCGAUUUAACCCAAAACUUCUUGGCAAACUCAAAGGCACCAGUGUCCGAUACGAUAGGCUUAGCAUCAGAAAUAGUAACGUCGAGCCGAUCCAGUAAUUUUCUGUACUGUAGGGCCACUUGUUUAUCGGUGAUUAGAAUAUCAUCACCUAACAAAGCGUAGUCCUUAAAUGGAAGAUUAAGAUGCGGGUAUGCUUUCUUCGCCGCUGCAAAGCCCAAAAUGGCAUAACCAAAUAAUUGUUUUGCCAAUGAUGGAUAUUUGAAGAAUCCGAAAUAUAGAAUUUUUUUUUAAAUUUAAUUCUGCAAAUAAAUAGGUAGGUGGGGAAAAUCAAACUCCCCACCUUGGAAUAGAAACGAUCUUUAUUCUUUUGUCAACAAAAAAGUUAUUAUUCAGUGAAUAGUAAAUAUAGGAUUUCUUAAUUCUAUUAUUUUCUAUAUCAAUCAGAAAAGCGAAUAGAGUUCGAUUACAUAUUGAUUAGCUCACUAAUCAAUAUCAAAUAUGAAAGGGAAAUCCUAAAAUUAUUCAAUUAGAUAAUAAUUGAAUAAUUUUAGAAUAUAUUGAAUUAUUUUUUCAAGUUGAUUCAAAUUAUUCUAACGUUUUAUUACUUAUUUAUUUUUGUUUGGCGUACCAAAAAAAAACUUUUUGACUCCCCAAUAGAAAUAGCUUUCGCUAACAAAAAAACCUUUAAUUCUAUCCAAUAUGUCUUCCUUUUCCAAAUAUUUUUACGAAUACGUUUUUUUGUUCUCGAAGUGCAUUUUUUUGGAACUGUCAUUAUAAAAUUCCUCAUUGUUAGUUAUAGUUAGAUGUGAUCAGAAGCAUCUAGCAGCACCUCGUCGGUUUAGAAUUUGAACACGAAAUGGCCAAAGAAUCAAUUAGUAAUAUGCCUUCUAUUGCCAAAAGACCUUAUCUUCUCCUCUUGGUAAAGAGAGCCUCCAUUUCGAGUUCGACAAAGUGAAAGAAUCGAUUCGAUCAUUCAAGUCGGAUAGCAUUUAUCUACGCUAGGAUCCGACCUACAUGAACUUCUUUCUUCUCUUAUGAUAUUUCUAUCAAGCGAAAAAAAGAAGCGACUACCUUACUUAAGCAAUUAUCAGAUCGAUCUUCCAUUUUUGGAUCACUUUUUUUGGGGUGAAUAUGACCUUCUUUCCUAUGCAUUUCUUGCAUGUGGCUCGUCCGUGCUUUCCGAGGUGCUGCCUGUGACUCAGCAUGGGAGAAGGGGGUAGAACUGCACACUUUCGUGUUCAGAGCAUUGUCCGAGUGAGUAGGCAGGACCUACCAAGCAAAGCUUUCUUGAAGAGGAAGGGCUGGUUCCUUUUUGGCACCCACCCUUUAUUUAUUUAGAUAUUGAGGUAAGGCAAGCCCCAAGAAAGUCUAGGUUUGCUCCCAGCUCCAUCUCGGUCGGCAUCUUGCUCACGAGGGGGUGGGGUCCUGGAGCGAACUACUCAUUGCUGUGUUGCCCCAACCCAAGGAAGGGCAUUGGUGAGGAGCAUUGCUUUGAGGGAGAGAAAGAGUGGUUGACAAACCAAUCAUUGGAGGGACCGCUACACUAGUCUUCACAAUGACUCAACUUCCCUAAGUAUCUAUGCUUCUCCUACAGCUUGUACCACAUAAGGGCGACAGUAUUCAUGAGUCGCUAGUUCAACUGUCCCUCAGAGACAGGGUCGGAUCCUGAGGAAAAGGAGUUUGUUUCCACCGAGCUAAAACAAUAUGUUGAUGUCUCUUUGAAAGGUCACUCUCAUUAAAACAUUAAAAGAAGAAUUUCCUCUCUGUCGAGGAUUUUCCUCACGGCCUCACACAAAAAGAUUUGUCUAAGCAAUCUCAAAGAGAUUUUCAAUAAGUCAAUACCAAGAUUUGCUUUCUGCGCCUACUGAUGUGAUGAUAAUUCAGAAGCUUUUUUGCAAAGAAGAAGGGCCCUGUUCCUAUGGGUUCACGUGCUAAGGCUCCACUAAAAAAUGGAGCUCAAUAUGAAAUCCAAUUUUCUUGCAAGACCCGUUCGGAUAAGGGAAAACUCCAAAGAUUGCUUCAAAAUAAGAUCCUUGCGAAGACCCUUUCUGGCCGUAGAAGGGCUCGAUCAACUCGAUUCACUCAUUCCUGUCUUUACUUUAAAAGAAAAGAGCCGCCGGGGACCUGGAUGCGCUAGCGAUUGGCACAUAGGGGAAUGGUUGCCCAGGUUUCUCGGCCUGGUAUCCUGCACCUCGCGUUCAUGAUAUCUAUAUUUGGCUAUUUCGGGGCCUCAAGCGUCUGUAGGCCUAUCAGCCAUGAAGUACGCAUAAGCGGGAAUGGGCAAAAAGGACGGUUAUAAGGCAUCUAGAGGACCUAUUUUCGGCUGGUCAUAACCAGAACUCUUAGGUUAGGGGGAACGAGACUAGUUCAUUGACCCAGACCAUGGCCUGAGACCGUUAGGAGGGGUCUUGGCACACUGGGAAGGAUCUUCUUAAAAAACAUACUACGGCUUAGCACGCUAGGAGUGGGGGUCAAGUCAUUCCAUAAAGAUUGGAGGGAAUAAUGAUUUUCACUAUUCGCCAAAGUUGUAGAUAAGUGAAGGGCUGGAGAAAGAUCCAAGUGCAAGCAUUGAGUCAAACCAAUUCUGGUAUAGCAAGAUAGUUCUUGUCUUCUUCUUCUAUCGAGAAACAAGUGGGCUAUUUCUUUGUAAAACUGUGCUCAAUUUCAUAUGUGGCAAUUCUGCUGUUUGAUGACCGACCUACUCUGGGUAUCCAGUAUCCUUCGAGGCAGAUAUAAAAGACAUAUAAGGUGAGUUGGGAGGGGGUAUCUUAAGGUAAUCUAAAAAAAAGAUCUAAAAUCAGAAUAAUGAACUUCUUCAAUCUAAGAUCACUUCCUUUCUUUAAAUCCAGCAGUGGAGAUAGAUACAAAGGCGGAUGCUUAAGUGAGUGUGGGACACAUACUUCAUGAAAUGGUUCAUGCAUGUUUGUUGCACCGCAAAGAAACUAAAACAAAUAAAGAACAAGGAUUUCAUCCAAGGUGCUAGCACAAGAAGAGAUUGAUUUCUCUUAGCCGCUAAAAGCGGAUUGAUCUCUUCCCCACUUGCCAACGUAAGCACGACGUGGUUUACUAGUCGCGUUAAACCAUCUAAAGGAGUGUUGUCAUCCCCCAAAAGUGCUUUCCUUCUCGCGCAGCCCAGUCUAGUCUGAGGAGGAGUGGGAUUGUGAAAGCUGCAGCAAAGGGAAAAGACUUUCACUAGUUUCUUGAGUGAGAAGUAGAUGUUGGUGAAAAAAGGAAGUUGAGUUCAAGUUUGGAGCACAUGGCAUAAGCCAAAUAUCUCGGGAUGACUCUAAAAGCUAACGAGAUAAUUCUGGUUAAAUCAAGCUCAAACGAAGCAAACCAUUUCUCAUAAGAGAAUAGAAAAUCACAACCAUUUUGCUACAUAAAGAAUAAUCAAUUUGACCAAGCCGUAAAAACUGAAAUAUCACAAUAUUUUUUUGGCAAGCAUCUGUUUUAGAUUUAGUGUUGCCAUCCCAGGUCCUCCUACACAUAUUCUACAGGGAGGGGAAAACACCACACCACAUGCAGGGACAAUACCAAGCACUUUGUUACUGGUUCGCAAAGGAAUAGAAGGGAAAAAGUCUUUGAUUAUGACUGGUGGGAUAUAAAUAAAAAGACUGGAACUCUAGAUCCUCUAACGCUGAGUAAAAUGAGAAUCAUAAGCUAUUCAUUACACCACAGCAGGAUCUUGCCUUGGAUAGGCCCCUAGCCUGUGAUCUUAGCCAGUAAAUGCGUCCUAGGUAGAGAGGGGAAAACCCAGAAAAGAAAAGAACCAGAAUCACGUCCAACAAUCUAUAGGGGAAAAUCAAUGAUGAAGCAGCAGGCAGAGUCGUUUGAUGACACGAGGUUCCUAUAUACCAUCAUCUUGAAUCCAAAGGCAUAACAAUAGGUAGGCAUCUUCUCGACGAUCUAUACGAAGAUCUAAAAGUGAAUAAAUAGACAAAUAGAGAUGCUCUUCCUGCGGCCCAAAAACGUCUUCGUUCAAAGAUCUAGCAAUGACUUUCUUCCCACCCAGAGUGGAAUUUAGGGAUAGGACUUUGCCUGCUAUCUUGAUUGCUGCUACAUUGAUUUAUAUUUUUUUUCCUAGUCCUAUCGAACCAGACACUGAAUACCUGGUCCGGAUAAAAGGAUUUUUUCUAUUCAAAGCAGAGAAAGAUAUACCUUGGUUAUAUUUUAUCUCUUCAACAAGUUUAGUAAUGAGCAUAACGACCCUAUCGUUCCGAUGGAGAGAAGAACCUAUGAUUAGCUUUUCGGGAAAUUUCGAAUCAAUGCCUAAUUUACCCUCCUUCAGCUAGGCCUGGAAUGAAAAAUGAGAUGAUUGAACUUGUUGGUAAUGGGAGAGAAAGCAAUCGACAGAUAACUGGUAAGUAAAGCUAUAGACUGGGUCUGAAUUCGACAUCACGUAUGUAACCAAAAAGGAAGGGCGAUAGCAGAACACCUUGCACCCUAUCAAAUCAAGGAGGAACAUGAGUUUAAGAAUUGCUUCCCAGACGAGGAAAUAGCUGUCACAGAAGAGGUGGCCCUUGGGCCACUUGACUGGUUAGAAAGGGGUUCGACUCAAUAUUCUUGUGUGUAUCCUUUAGCCACCAAUCUAGCCUUCAACCCCACAAGGUUCCGUCGUUGAGUGACAAAUGAGAAAUUUAUGGAAAGUUACAAUCCCUACCACGGAAUAGUGCACCCACACGCCUUUAUCGACGUUGUUUUUUGACCAGAAGGCCGAAAUACACUAUUGUGGUAGCCGAAACGGCAGAUUCCCCUGCUAUAUUACAAUACGUUGCUCCUUAUACAGGAGCAGCUCUAGCUGAAUAUUUUCUGUAUCAUGAACGACACACUUUAAUCAUUUAUGAUGAUCUCUCUAAACACGUAGGAGAAAGGUAAGAUGACCGUCAACGGACAAAAGCCUCUCAUUAUUAUUAUUUCACUUUUAUGCUUCAAUCAGGCCUAUAUUCGUAUUUGAAUGAUACCAAUCGAGAUGGCUUUUUCAGGGACUAGCCUCUUCCCUGAGACAAUCCAUGGGAUUCAAAAGAGAGAGAAGGAACUUUCGCCUAUAUUUCUUUUGAUCUCUUCUAAUUUCAUAAUGGCACCCGAAGCUCAUUGGGCUUUCAGAGGCAUAACAGGGAAGAGCGGACAAGCUAAACUCACUGCAAAGAAAGCAGUCACAGCUUGGGAUCUCUUUUUUAUUGGAUAUAGUGUUUGCGCACCAACAGGAGUCGGGCCUUGGUUAUUUCAGUACAUUCAGUUCCAAGUCAAUUAAGUUCGCGUAGUUCGUAGCGAGGAAAGCACUUGUCUGACAAGGAUUCAUUCACUGUCAAUCUGGCAAGGGGUUGUGGGUCAGAGCAGAUUCCAUUGAUUUAAGGCAGAAAUAGCAGAAUGGUUAGGGGGCUAGUCUUUAAGCAGCUGGCUUCCAUCUAUCCCAUUGCAUUCCAUCAUCUCGUAUUGUACUGUACCGUAUCAGACCAGAUAGAUCUAUGUAGUGAGAGAAAGGGAGAAAACUCUAAUUAGAUAUUCUUUAUAUAUUGAUAGGGAUCCCCAUUCAUUCCUAGAUUCCCAUCACUACGGAAGAAGUUUGCCUAUGGACUCUACCUUAGCGACCUUCUUUCGUACUUUCACGAGAAAGCAAGCUAUCGACCUUAUCUCCGUUAGUUUUUCAAGACCAGUGAACCCGGAUGUCAAUAUCUCUAUGGGACCUACUUUAGUUUUUUAUCUGUGGAGAGAUUGUCGUUUACAUGCUUAAUUACUAAAGUACGGGAAAGAAAUAGCUUACAAGAACAAGUAAGAGAGUUGACUUGCUUACUUUAACAAGUAAGGGAACUGAGGUUGCUUACUAAAGUAAGCAAUUGUUGACCCUUUCAAUCUUGUUUGUACCCACGAGGCACAUUGAACACCAACUCAACUAAAAAGAGAAAAAAGGGUACUCACUCGUCGGCUGAUCCGUAGCCCGCUCUGGGUGAGAGACUACAUGGAAAAGCUCGAUAAACGUCCUCCUAUCCCAAGGUUAGAAAUGCUUUCCCGUCACCUGUUAGCUCUACAUGUGUGAUGUUAGCGACAUAAAGUGCGAAUCAAAGUGCAUAUUUUCUAACAUUCGGUUAUGCUUCUGAUCCUCUCCUAGCUGCCAGAACUCCUAUCAGAUUGUAAUCAAAUCAAUCUAAGAAGCAGAAGAGCUUUCAAUAAAUUAAGGUAUUUAGCAGUCCUAGUAGAUGCAAUAAGAGACAAAAAAGCCUGUUGGAAAUGAAUAGAAAGAACCCGCUUUCGCUUUCUGCUUUGAUGCUAUGAAUUCGCUUUCUGCUUUGACGCGAUGAAGUCGCUUUCUGCUUUGACGCUAUGAAGUCACUUUCUGGUUUCACUUCAGCCUUGUUAGAUAGAGUCUCACUUUAAGGUAGAGUAGCUUCUUGGUCGCCAACACUCAAUCAUCUGACGGUGUCCUAUCAUAGUUCUAAGGAUUGAGAAUGGUUGGUAGCUAUAUCGAAUGAAAAAGCACUGUAUGAGGUUUGUAGUUCAUCAAUGAAGAAAAGUGUAUAUAGACUGCACAUUUCCAUUGUUGCUAGACCUAAUAGAUUUCCUAGGGUUGCUAUAGCUAAUAGAUAUCCUAAGGUUGCUAUAGCUAAUAGAUUUCUGACGGUUUGAUUCAUUUUAUAGUACUUUUCUCCCCCUACCUAAACAAAGAAUAGGAGGAGGGACCUCUCCCUUUAGAGCUACUUUAAAAGGUCCAACGACCCUUAACCAACAACAAUGCAUGAGAAUGAACUAUACCCGUUGCCUCAGUCGCUUUUUUGAUAGCUACAUAAUCCAGAAUAAAGCAUAAAGCCAUCCCAUUUCGGUUGGGACUAUACCCACUGCUAAAACGAAGGAGACCAUAAUCCCCAAUCCAACAGCCUUGAGAAGAGGUUCACUAGCCGGAAUAGCUAAUUCACACAAAGGUUCAUUGCUCAUAGCUUGGUUCACUGAUUCUGACUGUGUCCCACUCACUCUUUCUAGAAACUUGAUAACCUGAAAACCUGGUACUUGAUGUUAGGGCUUGAAAAAAGCCUCGUAGUCUAUGUUGGGGCAAAAAAGAGAUGGGUCCGGUAUAGAGCUAUGGUCCACCUUGUACCAAACAACACACCAAUCAUAAUAAGAGUAAAGUAAGGGCCAACAUAACCCGGUCCGCAUGAUACUACAUCUCUUAAGACUUCUUAAACAUCCAAUGGGUCAUUCACUAAAGAACGAUAGCUAGCCCCUAGACUCGAUGAAGUUAAUAAAGUUGUAUCUAGUGAGAUUUUAAUAGUAAUGUAUUCGAAUCCCAAUUUAUUAUUGAAUAUGGUAAGCUUUUCUAAUUCGUUGUUGGAAUAUUCUAGUUCUUUUCGUACACUAUCUUCAAUAGUAAAUUUAUUGAAGAUAGUGAGGGUUCUGAGGUUAGCAAUCAGCCUUCUCUGAAUCGUACAUUGAGAAUAUUUCAUCCCUGGUGGGAACACAUAUCGGAAAAAAAAGGUCCAUUUGACAUGGAACCAAGACAAAAAAAGUUCUUCUUGCAAAGAAGCCCGUGCUUCUUUUGUUGAAAUAAGCGCAUAACCAUAAAAAAGAUCAUUAAAAAAGCGUGAGCCAUUAUUAAAACAUUAUAAAGUUGAUGAUUCCCACCAAGAAUUUGAUCGCUGGGUCGUGCUAAUUCCAUAUGAAUCAGUACUGAGAAGCAUGUUCCCAUCACUCCAGCAAUGGCACCGAAGAUGAAAUAAAGAGUCCCUAUAUCCGACGGAAAAUACCAUUUAGAAGGAUUUCAAUCGAGAUACCUGAACAGGGCAUUAGUUGAUUCUCGAGUUCUGAGAUGCGGAAGAAGGUUACCGAAUCGAUUGUCGGCUGCCCAUUGUAUAACUCGAUAAACUUCCCCCCCUUGUCCCCCUCUCCCCCCAAUACUUUGGGGAUACCCUCUAAUUCCAUUAUUCCGGCGCCUCCCCAUUCACCUUCUUCAUCGAGAAUGUCUUCCAUAAAUGAAAUUCUCUCUCCUUAUACUGGCCUUUAGGAAAUCGCUUUAGUGCCGCACAGCGAGCAGGGAAGAUGCAGCCGAAGUUGCCCAGAGAGUUAUAAGUGAAGCGCUGGGAUGUCAAUGCCCAUAGAGGUAGUAGCAAGAGAGGCCACGCCGGAAAGCGUGAGUCAGAAGCAGAGCUUACUAAUAAGGGGUGACCGGAUUAGAUUAAUAUCAAUGGAUCCUUUAUCAGUCAUUCAUUGAAUGAUAAAUAACUACAAGUGACGAAGACAGGUGAUUUAAAUAACGAAAAAUCCAAUAUUUAAAAAUGGAUAACCAAUUCAUUUUCAAAUAUAGUUGGGAGACUUUACCCAAGAAAUGGGUUAAAAAAAUGGAAAGAUCGGAACAUGGGAAUAGACCUAAUACCAAUACGGACUACCUAUUUCAAUUGUUGUGCUUUCUGAAAUUGCAUACCUAUACAAGGGAUUUAGGGACUAGGCUUGUUUACCGUCUUUGGCCAAGCUCAGGGAUUGACGAAGCUCUAUACCUCCCUGGCAGAGGCAUUUCCCCAUUUCUUCCGCCCUUGGCCUUAAUCGCUUACUCUGACGGAUCCGUAGUAAUGAAAUGGGGAAAUCUUUCAUGCAAUAGUGUGUUUGAAGUCCUACUAAGCUAAAGAAGCAGAUGAAGCAUCGGGUCUUGGAGAAGAAUAAUAUCACAGAGCACAGCAAACCGCUAAACCAUGUGCGCGUGAUUGCUCGCCUAUCAUGAGUUUGACUUGCGCUCUAAAGCUGUCUUUUCGAGGAAGACCGGAGAGAACCUUUAUGACAUUUUUGUGGAUAAAGCAGUCGGUGAAGAUUUUUCUUAUGUUGUUUAAGACCCCUUAUGGGGAAACUUUGGCAAGGUAUAUUAUUCCUUUUUCCCAGUGGGUGCAGGCUUCAUCGAAAGGCUCUCCGCCUCGUGGCAUUAUUGGGUUCGUUUGCAAACAACACUUCUUCCCUCGCCUAUUCCUUUCUGUUAACUAUUGAGAUAUUCCUUCCCUACCCUCCUAGAAAGGAUUCCUUGUUCUGACUGCAGCACCAUAUCUUGACCCUUUUCUUUAAUUGGUCCAUUUCGAGUUGGCCCAUUCCCCUUCGACCGGUCGUAAAAGGAGAACAACUGAGAGAGUAUGCUAUGCGCAGACUGUCUUGCUGCUUUCUUUCUUUGAGGACUCUUUUGUAAUAGCUUGAUGAGCUGAACCAACAAGAUAUAUUACGUUCUACCCUCUGCUUUGAGCCCGGCCGAGAGUGAGCUUCCUGAUAGUCUCUUCCUUCCUAGAAAUAGAACUCUAACUAUCAAACCUGUCCCGUCUCCUUACUCGAGAUAUCUGAGAUAGCUCCAAGAGUGCAUCCAAAAAUUCGAGAAGAGUGUUCGGCCUUGGUUGAAACAAUUAUAGGUGUCAAUGGACCGAUUUCACUAGCAGAGCACUUUCUCUAAUGUGCGCAAAUAGAGAUGGCACUUUCAAUGAUGGACACCGACCCUUGUGUUAAAGUAGCAUUGAGUUUCGCUUGGAAACCGGAAAGUUUCAAGUUUCCAAAUAAGUGGUACCCUUUCUUUACUUUAGAGUCCGAUAGGUCAAUUAAGUUGCCUAAAUCUCUUCCUUAUCUGCUGCUCUGUAGCUGCCUUCCUCGCUUCGUCUUCAGCUUUCAGAGUUGUGAACUAACCUCUUCCUUUUACAGCCAGACAAUUGGCAGAUAAGCUGGGCAUCUAAAGAACAUAAGAUCCGAGUUACCGCCAGGCGUAAAAGUCAUAUUGUCAACUAGGGAAAUUGGCACAACCAGGCAUCUCAAACAUUGAUAAGGGAAGAAUCAGGCUUUCAUUAGGAUGAUAUUCCUUUCAUCCGAAUGGCAAGGCUUGCUAGUUUCCUGAAGUACACUCACAUCUGUCUAUCUAUGUCAUAGUUGCUUGGAAGGAAGGUCUCAGAUGUACCUUCGGCAUGUAUGAGAUUUUCUUUCCUCUAUCUAUGUCAUACUUGGGAUUCACUAACAGCCAAUUCCAAGUAGAUCCUCCCUCCCCCUCGCUCUACUUUGUUUCGCUUGUUUUCUCUUUCCUUCUGCCUACAAAAAAAGUUCUGAGAUUAGUUUUGUGUGCGUUAGCGAUCAUCAAACCUAUAACAUAGAUAAGAUUGAAGUUCAUGCAGUUGGAAUGCCUGAGACCACUUUUAGCCUUGCUGCUCUUGCUUCUCUGGCUACUGCUCCGUCUAAGGCUUUCUUUCUGCUUUGACUUGCCUUCCUUAUCUUUCAAUCUGGACUUGCAUGUGUUCCAUGACUAUUUCGAGUGAUUUUUGCUAUCUAGCUUGAGUUAGAAAAGUAGAGAAGGAUCUUAUGCCACCGGUGACCGACCUGUCUAUCUAGUAUCUAGUACUAGGACUAGUAGAGUAGAGACACUAUUACAUAAGUUAAUUCCUAAUUCUUAUCUCACAUUAUGAGAUAAGUACGCAGUUAUUAUUGUAUCGGCCCAAAACCUCGCUAAUUGAUCUUUACGGUGCUUCCUCUUUCUCUAUCAAUUAAAGCCCGCGGGAAGCAUGAAGAGCUAAGCCACUAAUGUUGUGGCGAAGGUUAGACCUCAUAAAGUCAGCGAAGCUAAGGUUUUGUAUGUGUGAUAGAGAAAGGAAAAGCGACCCCGUGCCCUACUACAAUUCUUAUUCAAUAGUUUCAUAUUACUACAAUGUCGUGCCGAUGUCUCCCUUACGAAAUUGAAGAUAAGUCUUUUGAUUAGGGGGGUGACAACCGAGGCUUUUAAGAGAAGUUGCCAUAUAGGUCAUAAAGAGCUAUCUUAUAUCUAAUAGGAAUAAUCCAAUUCUUAUGUCUACUGUGGGAAAUAGGGUCCCAAUACCAUCUCUUCAAUGACGUAGACAAAGGGUUCCCAUCAUGUUCGAUCUGAGAAGAGAGAUGAAGAAGAAGAUGUCCUCCUCAAGGGGUCGACGCCCUCGCUCAGAACUAAAGGAUCCUCGUACAUCGGCACUCACUGCAUAAGCUCAUAGGGCAAGAUGAAGAUCCAAAAAAAGGUUAAAGAGAUCGUCAACUUUGCCUUGGCAUGCUUCCAUCAGUGCUGAAAAGAGAACUAAGGCAAGGCUAUUGAUGUACCACUGUAUGGAGGGCUCAAAGAGAGUAUAAGCACUUUACUUCACGCUUAGUGUGAACUUCCGAUUUGAGGCUGCUCUUAGACCAGGAAGAUUGCUUAUGACAUCAAUCAUCUAGGUCCAUCCUAUGUCGAAUAGUUUGUCAAUGUAUGCUUCCCUAGCUGUGGGGAGAGUUCAUUGAACUCGAUUCGCUAUGUGUGAUAGAAUUGUUUGAAGGAAUGGAAUCCGAAGCAAAGAAUGCUCUGUUUGCUAUUGAAUCAGAAUGGAAAAGGAUUAGCAGGGCUGUUAGCCAUUGAUUCUAAAGCAUUUUUGCUUCCAGGCACGUAUGUGAAUAGGCGGCACUGGUCUUUUUCUUCCUUUCGCAUUGUCUCAUCUCGUACAGCAGGAGGUUGAAUAGUCUAAGAAGAUGGCAUAAAAUCAAGGCUCUUGUCUUUUAGUAGUUAGGUUUGCUUUCUCCUUAGCCUCAAUCUCUCGUCAAGGGAAUCAGUUGUGGGUAUCUCUAUAGAUGUGGCUUUACCAAGGUUAGCUUGACUUUGACUCUCUCUUGCUUGAGAAUGCACUGCUGGUAGGAAGAAUGCUGACUUUAUGUCCGAGCUGGGUGAAUCCAAAAUGACUUUCUUCGUUGAACGAGGGGAUCCUCUUUUGGUUAUAGUCCCGUAUUCAAAUAGGUACGUAGUUCAUCAGUAAGCAAAUAAUCCUAGCCGAGCUGGUAAGCCUUCAAUUCGUUCUAUGAGUCCACAGCUCUUAGCUUUUGCAUCAUUCCAUCUUUUACCCCCACCUAAGUCCUAAUCCGAUAAGCUUAUCAGUUCAGUCAGCUUCUCCCACAGCAAGAACUUCAUUUUCUUACCUAUGAUAAUAGAUCUUGGCCUAGUGUGAAGUAUCAUCUUAUUACCUGAAAGUUAUUCGAGGAUUCGUUUCAUUAUGUGAAACUCAUUCUGUCUAUUUACCUAAACUCCAAGUAGUAGUUAUACCGAGUAAGCUUUGUAUUCCAAUCUAAGGGCGGGAUCAGCACGGGAAGCACAUGCUUAUCAGCUAGGAGGACAGAAAGAGGUAAUACAUGAUCAAAGGAUCUAACAAUAGUGAUGUGGUUGAAGGCUCAGCGGGCUUCCUAGAAAUGAGGCUUAUCCUUAGCGCGAGGCAGGUCUUCUUUCCCACCGUGCCCGCCCACCGCCCUCACUCCGCUCGUCUCUGUGAUUCAUUUCAUGUAGAAAGAUGAGACCCAUUAGGAGAUAACCAUGGUAUAAUCUAACUUGAGCCACACAAAGACUCCCUUAACGGUGCGGGCACUCCCCCCUAAGGAGCUUGUGCAACAUCUUGAACCUCCCUUCAGAGUCAAAGGUUGCCCAGGUGGUUACUAAGCUAGUCAAACUCAAGAAAGAAGAUUCAAGUCCAGCAAAGUAGACUGUAAAGAAUUUCUUUAUAUAGGCCUUCUUCAAUUUAGAUGGAAACCUGCGUCCCCAAAGAAAACGCAGUCCCAGCCAUCACCUAGGAAAGAUCCCAGCUGUCAAGCAAGUACCACACUCCAACGAGUGGCACUUAGAUAGCUGAGAGGAUCCUAAUGUAAAACUAACCACCGAAACACUUGUCACUGGUACAAUCCGAUCAUGCCAUAGUGCUGACGAACAACAUGAGAGUUCCAGUUUCUACACCCACCAGAAGCAUCGCCACCCUGUCAGAGCUAUGACAGGUAGCGUACUAAAUGACAUUUGAACUACACCUGACCCCUGACAAGGAACAGUUGUGUUAUCUUAACUAAAUUAUAUAGUGGAGCAAACAGGUAAUAACCCUAAAACUCUAUCCAUCAUUCUUGCCUUAUUCAACCAAGAAGGCAACUUUCUCAUUAAAGGGCGGCCCACAAUAUACAAAAUACAAAAGUGAGGGUAGCCAAGGUGCACCUCUCCAUAGGACCACUCCAUGUGGUUACCCUACAAGGAGGUACGAAGUAGCUAGAGAUUCAUUUCAAAUGAGUUAAGACUAAGGUACAGAGAUUCGUUGAACAUAGUUGAACAUAGUUCAACUCAUUGGGAUCUUGACCUUGAAAGGUCCAGAUCAUCUUUUCCUAUGAAAGCAUGAGAUAGAGUGUUUCGAGACUUCGAUGUCGAUCGAUAACCCUUCUUCUCUGGAGUGGAACAAGGGCACCCAGUCUAAGAAGUGGAAGUUUAUGACGAUGCCUGAAAUGAGUAAUCCAGAACCUCUAUCCGUCCAUCUAUGGAGGUUUUUUCAAGCCUGAUCCGCUGCCUGUGAAGACCAAGAAGUAAGAGUGGUUGGACGAUUAACUAGGUCUAUAAGCCAAAAACUAAAUGAAAAGGACCAAAGAUAGCUGCUCCCCUUGUUCCUUCCUAAAUUUAUCGGAUGAAAGUUGUGAACGUAAGCGGUGCACAUGAAACGUAUGCGCUCUUUGAAAUGACCCUUCCUUCCCCGUAUCCGAUGUUCUUAGUCUUUCUGGUCUUGUUGGAAGAAAAAUAGUGGGUGAAAGAGAAGUUCUUUAGUCUUAGUUCAGGGAGGGAAUGAUUGCACAUUCAAGGACCCGAAGCAAGCAGCCGACCGUCGUAGAUCAGUUGGAUUAGUCUAAAUAGCUAGAAAAUUUCCCAGCCAAUGGGCAAGCUAGUUCUUUAGCAAAAUCCAUAGUCUUUCAAGCUAUGGAUAAGAGAGAUAGGCUCGUGAGAACUCGCACUCGUCGGUCGGGUAAAGCGUCAAUCAAGUCAUCUCGUAAAAGCUCCCACUCCUUGCAAGGCUAAGAAAGCACUUUGGCUAGGGCGAAUGGUUCUAAAAAAGGAAGCAACAUUCAUUCGAUCUUUGAACCAACUCAACUGAAAGACUCGACGACUGGGGCGGAACAGUUUCCAUCUAUUAGCCUUAGGGGCUUCUUUAAAGAGUACCUGUUCUAGCUAGUAGCCUCUUUUUCCUAAUGAGGAAAUAGUGGCCGAUUAGCUACAUCCUUUAAGUCCAUUAGCGCAAGUCACUCCAUUAGCUCUAUUAGCUACAAGAAGAGGAUAUCGACUUAUUAAAGGGGCGGGCGGCAGUCAGACCUUUUUAUGAACUGAUAGCACAAACUUUAUGUCGGAAUCUAUCUGGCAUUCCACUUCGAAAGCUGUCUUUCUAAUGGCUUCUCUAUAUCUAUCAUUGUAGGCUCGACUUUCUUUAUUCUCUACUGUAAGACAUUUAGUGGUUUAAAAAUCGCAUACCAUGUUGAAUCGAUAGACGAAAAAAGAACCCAAAGCAUUGACAUUGAAAGAAGUCCCUCAAGCAUUUAAAAAAGAACAAAGACAAGGGUUAUACCUAUUAGAGAAUCCUUACUAGUCUCAUAGAUUACUCAAAAUUCAACUCAUACACAGAAAAGGAAAAAGAUUGAUACUUAUACUGAUAUCGAGCUGGAAGAGCACUGGAUAGAGACUAUAGGGUCUCAUCCCUGCUUCAACUACGAGAUAGGGAGACAGCAUCGUAGCAUGAAAUGAGCCAAUGCCAAGUGCUCUCUUUGUUUGCUGCUCCUCUUCUUCCAAAGCAUUGAAUAAAUGAAGAGAGUGACCCUAAAAGAGGAGGCAAUAUCUGACAUUUUACUUAUACGUUACUCUCAACUUUGAGAAUUUCAACUUAUAUCAGAGCAGGGAAAGCGGAGAUGCUGGUAAUUAUAUACGUAGUAAUGAAUGCCUGACCUUUCUAGUGGAGCAAUCCUAUGUUUAGGAACGUGACACAUCAAUUCUUUGUACCGAAGUAAGGUUGACUGCAGAUGAUAGUUAUACGUCUGCCAGCAGUCAAAAUUGAGAAAUUGUACAGAUUCAAUUCGAUGAUUCAUGUCUUCAUUGGUAACUAAUCACCUUUGGGUAGAAGCAUGGUAACAAAAAGAAGUCAGCCUGGGGGUCUUCUAACUGAAGAUAAAGGACCGGUAAUUGAAUCAAUAACCGUAGUUACUAGACUAGCUCUUAAAUUAGCUAUGACAGUAUCUAUUAGUGCGUCUUAUAUGUUUGAUCUUAAUGCCAGAAUAGAGUUCAAGACGAAAGUGUUUCAAAAUAGAAAGAGAAAGUCUAGAAUGAAGUAGCUCGCCCUUUCUCAGUGGAACUAAAAAAAAAAGAGUUUGAGCUCUUUUUUUUGGUUGACUUUUAGCCACGCGCGGGGACUAUGUGCAUGUGUCCCAAAGUGACGUAUAUUUUUUGGUAAUGGGUUUACUCAAGAGAAAAGGUUUGAAAUUCGACCUCACUUUAUACGCUCUAAAAGGGGGUCAUGGACUCCUUUUUAGUUUAGGAUCCCCUUUCUACAUUCAAGUCAACCUACAAGCACGGAAGAGCGUGGUACCGCUACCCCUCUCUAAGUAAAGGUAAGAUUCUUAGCCCUGUAGAUGACUCCAUCUAAAAUACAAUAAGGACAGCCAUUUUUGGCUGGCCUUGAGUUGAUAUUUAAAAGAAGGAGCUCGUCCUGGUGUGCUGUUUCCUUUCCUGCUACUAAUUUUUGAGUAGAAACUCCUCUUUGGUUUAAUUCAUAUCCAACUUUCUCUAGCGGAAUUAGACUUUCAUUUCUAUUUCUUCAAAUCCAGCAUGACAUGUGUCAAGAAUCAAAGAAAAGUUCAAAAAUUGGCGAAUUCAAUGUUUCCAUAUCCGUCCGGGCAGGAAAUUCUCAAGUCAAGAUAUGCAAAAUAAAAAGACUCCCUGGGAGAUGGUAUUCUUUGUUUUUGGUCUUGAUAGAUUUUUCUAUCGAUUGAAGUUAUUACGCUGGCUGAUUAAAUCUCUUCCUAACGCCUUUAGGGGCUGUGAAGAGAGCCCAGUUCCAGGCCUCAGUUUACCGUAUAAUAUUUGUGGUUCACUUCGUCACACUCUCGAUUAACAAAAGGGGGAUAUGGUUCAACCCCGGUCUACAGGCUCUCGAUCUUUAUCUACAGGGUGCUUUUAACUCGGCAUAGGGACCUCUGCCUUUCUUCUCAUAUUCGAAGACCCUUGGCUGAAAGAGAAAUCGAUGAUCAAGAAAGAUAUAAAGAACAGGUCUCAACUCCACUACAAGAAGAUUGGUUGCUCUCUGCUUCCUCAUUCUCAUCCUCGGAUUCUUCCUAUACCAUUACUUGAGGUAUUGAGGUUGAACUGACGUUUUUCCCACAUAGUUAAUCGAACUUCAAGGAAAAUUGAUCACAGCUGAGUCUGAGCACUUCUUCAAUUUACUAAGAUAUCAAGUCUCAAAUUCCAAGGUGUGGACUAGGAAAUGCUCCCUGAAUCAUGAAGUUUGAGAGUUUGGGACCACUUUAUUCUCUUAUACCGUUCUUUGUUUACUUCUGGCCUUCUCGAACUCCUACACGGGGGGAGUCAGAUCUUAGAGUAAGCUCCUUUCCAUGGGCAAUCUACUCAAGAGUUUAGGCCCCUAAUUCGGUCUAUGUCUGAGCUGCUGCCGUACUCAAAGGCGAGGGGCUCAAAAAGUGGAUGCGAUUGGAAAAUGCACGAUUAGCAGUGAAUAGGAUCAAUCCUCCAUAUUCUUCUCUUCGGCAUAGUGAAGGAUCUUUCAUUGUAGCCAGUCUUUACUGAACUCGGCCCAAGCAAUGCCCAAGGACUCCCAUCCCAUGUCUUUCUUGGUUGGACCAACCCAACCGACGAUUUCCGUGAGCAAGAAAAAGUCUCUCUUUUUGGGAGUAGAGCAGGCUGGGUGGUUUUUUUCGUAAGGAGGGGUGACCAAGAGGGCGAUUAUGGUUGCAUUCUGGUUAACUGCUUCCACAAACACCCAGCCUGCUGAGAGGUAUUAUGUAAUCCAAGAAUCAGGAUCUGCGAGAUAUGGAUAUGAAACUGGAUAUGCUCGAACUGGACCGCAGGUUGUUGCCUCCAAGUCUCUUGCUCCUAUUAAUCUCAACUUUAGUAGAAGUGGGUAGCGGCACUGGGUGGACGGUCUAUCCGCCCUUAAGUGGUAUUACCAGCCAUUCUGGAGGAGCAAUUGAUUUAGCAAUUUCUAGUCUUCAUCUAUCUGGUGUUUCAUACAUUUUAGGUUCUAUGAAUUUUAUAACAACUAUCUUCAACAUGCGUGGACCUGGAAUGACUAUGCACCCCGAAAGAAGAAUAGCCCCGCUCUCUAGCCGACUGAUCCCAUGGAUUAUACCAACCAAAUUACUUUUUUUAAAUUUGAAUACAAAUGAAAAUGUUAGUAAAAAUCAAAAUAUCAAUAAGAACAAAUUUUUUUUUUCUACCAUCAAAUAAAAAAAUAAAGAAUCGAAUUCAAGAAGCAAAAGAACCCACAAGUCAAGGAAAAAGAGAGCGUGAAUCAGGUAAAAUCUUGGUUUAUUGUUUCAUCAGGGACUCCCAAGUGCCUUUCACUCUCAUUUGGUCUCUUUCUUCUAAAAAAUAAAAUGAAGCAAAGCGCAUGGCAAAGAAGCAGCCAGCUGACUGGCCUCUUCCACUCGAGCCAUGAACCGUUCUCUCGAACUUUUCUCUACUUCAGAAUCCCCGGCCUCACUAAUAUCAGUGAGCCUCUGGAUUCGAACCAACACCUCUUGCAUUCAGCGAACUACCAUAUUAUUCAAGUCAUGAGUUUGGUGCCUGGUUCGUCAAAAACUAUAAAGGCUACAUCCGGGGGUAAGAGGUCGGAAUGAGGGAAGUAGGGCUCCUAUUGACUAAAGGUUUGUUCCAAAGCUUUUUCCCCGAGCACACGCAAUGGAACCAUAGACAGUCAAGUGUGUUCCCUUUGAUCCGAUCCUGUGACAAAGGCAAGCCCGUCACAAAGGCUCUUAAAGAGAGCUUCUCUUUGUACGUAACAGAUGCUUGCUCUAUAGAGAGGCAGAUUCACAAGCAAAGUUACGUGAAAAACGUCUUCUUGUUUUUUUAUAGAUACCCGACCCGAGACCUAACCUUCUGUUGGGAUUUCCAUGCUUAUAAUAGGAUUUGGGAUUUAAUCUUUCCGUUCUUGCUGAUGGGAUUCCUCCCCCAGAGAGGUAACCACGGCAUCCCCUCUUAGUUUUGAGUAGGCGGAACCAUUCUAUUUUGGUUCUUCUCUACGGGUGAUCCAGGAAGGUAGGGAUAAUCGUCCAGGUCUUAUUGUGAAAGAAAAAAGCCGCCCCACCACAACAAAUGGGUUACUUCCUCUGUCGUCGUCGGGGAGCUCUUGGUGAGGAGACCUUAGGAUAAGUUGCUAAAACAAAGGGGAUGGAAGGAUCGACCCAUUCAGAUAAUUCCGAAGAAAGACUAUUGGCAGCAGGUAGAGAGAUUUUUUUUGCCUUUUCAAAACACAAGGAAAUGCGGGCAGGGUAAAGCUCGGCAGAGGGUUCGAGAAUAGGGUAGGGUCCUGUCCUUAAGAUUCAGAUAAGAAAAGAGUUCCAAACCUUUAUGCUCCGUAAAAGUGCUGCAUACAAGUUUCGGCCUGGAUGAUUGAGAAAGAUUUAACCAAUUUCAACCGCUCUCCUUUCGUUCUUACAUGCUCAUGAAAAUAUGAAAGACGUCGGGCUGGUUUUGGCAAGGUUCAGUAUGGAUGGUACCUAUAAUCAGACCCAACCGUUGCCUACCCUUCACUCGCUUUAUCGUCAUGAUCCGGAGAACUCACAAUGUCCAGAUUUGUGAAACUAAUCAUGCCUUUAUGCCGAUCAUCGUAGAAGCUAUUCCUAGGAAAGAUUAUGGGUCUCGGGUAUCCAAUCAGUUAAUCCCAUAAAGUGCGAAAGCUUAAGUGGAAAUUAAAGAGGAGAUUGAGGGAAGCCACUAAAUUGAGGGCUUCGCUCGCUCGCUCUAACGCUCGUUUAGUAGACAGAGAGUGGAGUGCAUAAGUCCGCCACCAUCGGUACUAGUCCAGGAGGUCCUGAACUCAAGGGCCACCUCUGAGAGUGAGACAUUGUAUUGUGUCUAUGUAGCGAUUGGACAAAAAUGCUCAACUGUGGCACAAUUAGUUCAAAUUCUUUCAGAAGAGAAUGCUUUGGAAUAUUCUAUUCUUGUAGCAGCCACCGCUUCGGAUCCUGCUCCUCUACAAUUUUUGGCCCUAUAUUUUAAGUGUGCCAUGGGGGAAUAUUUCUGCGAUAAUGGAAUACACGCAUUAAUAUCCCCGCCCAGUAGUGCCUCUACUCUACUAGUCCUAGUACUAAAUACUAGAUAGACAGGCCGGCAGAGCUUUAGCCAUUGGGCCACAUCCAUCUAUCCUAAACAGUAACCCUUUUCUUGUUCGUUCUUUGAAUGACACUAGUGGAGACUAAUUCCUUUCGGCUAAUGAAGAUACUAAUCUAGUCUUUCCAGUGGAUCCUUCCCUAAGAAUGGAACGAACAUUGAGAACCGACUUCGGAUUUGCUCCUUAGAUAGUGAGUAGCAAAGAAGGGUAGGGUUUCAAGUUUAGGGCUCGGUGCUUGCAGGUCUGACUGGUGCCUUCUCUUCAAUAGCUGCUUCAAUCAAUGUCGACAUCUGACUACACCCGUAGCUGACUACUUAUUGAAAGACCGAACAGGAAAUGAAAAGUCGUACUACAACAACUGUAAAUAAACAUUCCCUCCCCGCUCUGACUUUGAUCGACUUGCCCACACAAUGUCUUAUUUGAGAGAAGAGGUCAAGGGGCUAAGUGAAAAAAGGAAGGAAUUGAUAGUCUAAAGGCUUCCAAACUUAAUGCUCUAUGUACAAUGAAAGAAAGACUUUUUUAGAUUCUUGGUUUUAAGGCAAUAGAAAGAGAGAAGGAAAAAAGAAUUAUUGAUGGAUAGGUAAUAUACCUCUUAUUGAUAGCUAUAUUAUAUGAGAUGUCAUUGUAUGUGACAGUUCCUCUGACAUUUUCUUGCAAUCUUCCUCCCAAUAUCUUUAACAGGGUUGUUUUCCCACUGCCAGAAGGCCCCAUUAAGGCAAGAAUUUCACCCUUCCUUCUUCGAACCAUGAGUAUCUGCUUGUAAUUGUCAUGCUCAAACUGGGAAGCUACCUUUGAUACAACUACCUUGAUAGGAUUAUUGGAGGAAGCUUUGCUAAUGUUCACCUUGUACUCAACAUCCGCGAACUGCAUUCAAAGACCAUUUAAAUGGCAGAAGCCAAAACUCUGAAACAUAUAUCAACAAUUUGAUUCUUUGAAACAUUUCUGAGAAAUGAAAGAUUGGUUAGAGAAAAAAUUACCUUGAGAAAUAUGGGGAGGGUUUGAUCUUUAUCAGCAAUUGAUGUAUCAUCCUCUACCUCUAUAUCAAUUUUAGAGCUUCUAUUUCUGAGGUAAGCUUGAGAUAUGAACUCUAUAUUAUGGCCAAAGCCAUUGCUUCCAGCAAUCUGCAUGGAGCCAACAGCUGGAGGGGACAAUGACAAAUCCUCAAUUUCAUCUUGUCUAAGAUGCUCCAUUGUGUCAUGAACUGCAAGUUAAGCGUUGCUCCUGGGUGUUGGACAAAGUGAAUUGUUAUAUAUGGUGGAUAAGAUAGACAUAACCAAAACUCUGCCUAAAUCUUAAAACUGUUGAGCCACAUGCUGCUUCUUCCCCGCUCUAUACAGUAAUAAUAGAGGGCUUUGAUUGAUUGCCUUUUUUUUGUUUUGACGACAAGUUUUCGUUUUCAAUCUUAAUGCAGGAGCAUUCAGCCACUUGACUCGUUGGAAAGGAAACAUCGUUUUUUUUCAUUCUUUUCUUAUGAGGUCGUGUACAACAACCUUAACUGCAGAAGCCUGGGCUGGGCGUACCUCCAUCCCUAGAGUAGCCGUAUGAGGUGGAAGCUCCACGUACGGUUUUAAAGCCGAGCCUUUCCAGCAAUGGGGCCUAAGGACCGAUAUGAUGAUUGGUUUAGGUAGGGCGGCCGGCCUACUACGGGCACCUGUAGGGAUUAGUGUGUGAGACCGCGAUCCACAAACUGACGCAUGGGACUCACCCUUUACUUGGGAAUAGAGAGGGGAAACAUAGCAUGUCACAAGAGCGAGGCGAGGGUUGGAACCCUACUGCGAGAGGGAUGCCUCGCGAGCCAGGAUUUUAGAGAUAAGGCUUUUUGGUGAAGCCAAGUCAAUUUCGGUCCACCAAACCCUGCAACUGAUGAGAAGGACCUAUGGAGUAAAGGGAAGCGUGUACGCUAUCACACUCCCUGCCUUUCAAAGGUUCCUAGAGAACGGGCCAGACGCAGCAGAGCGACAACCGGGGAGAGGGUUCACCACUGGAAGGGGUACAGGAGACGGCCAUCUCAAGGUACAUCACGACCUACAAGCAACACCGGCGAGACCUGGGAAAGCAACCCGAUUGGGUGUUAGAGGAUCCAUAGUACCUGCAGCCUUUCGGACUUCAUAUUCAUCAUUUUGGAAAGCGAGGGGAAGGGAUCUCUUUUCUGUAACGGAAAAAAAAGGGAGCAGAUUUGACUCGGCAUAACCUAAUGAUACAUCCAAUACCAAUGAUCUGUGCCUAGAAUGCGUGCCACAAAUUGUAGUCUACUCGUCAUACAUCGAUUCUUUGCUGGAGAAGCCUAGAUCACUAGUUUUGGACUAUCGAGAAACCCCCUCUACCCGCAUCCCUAGAACUUGCUUUGCUUUUUUGCUUUAAAGAUCCCGCCUGCUUCACACCUUCUAUGAUAGGGGAAAUACUUCCGCACGAGUACUAAUUUGAUUAGCAUAAAUGAGCCUCUUCUAAGCCCUUGAGAUUUUACAUAUCAGCUUCAGAAGAUUCAAUUGGAUCAUUCUUGGCAUAGAAGAAUGAGGAAGAAAAGGUAGAGUGUGCUCUGGAACUCCAACACUUGGGUUGAACAAAAAAGGCUCAAUCUUUCACUAUUCAGGAUUAAGGGAAAGCAAAUGCGAUCAUCACAAGAUGCCUUGAAAUUCCAUUCUGUAGGGAAGGAGGACCUACUGAAUAAGUCUCCAAUCAAUCUCCAGCGGGUGAGAAAAUAGAUUUGCGGAACAUGCCUAGAAGAGGAUUUCAUAAUUCCAGAGGUGCCCAAGCCAUCCGUACUUCAUCUUCACUUCAUCCUUAUACACCUGCUGGACUGUCUAUCCUUCCUUCCUUUUGAUUAGAUGGAUUAUAUCAUCCAAGAGCUAAAACUAAGAGGAAAAUACUUCAAGGAACGAACUUGCAGGCCUUACCUUAUACCUUACCUCAACGAAAAAAGCUAAGGAGAAUGACGAUUCUAUGCCUUAAGGCUGACUGAAGCUUCCCUCUUUCCUGGUCUCCAUUACCCCGAAAAUGCCUUUUUGAAGUUGGGGUCAUACAAGAGGAAGAAGGGGAACUGGCAGAAGGAGUUGGUAUGGUGACGGUGACCCUUGAUGUGACUAAGGAAGCUUUACAGUUGGUGUGAAAAUGGAGGGGAAUUCUAUUGGGCUGAAGGAAGGUUAGAGUUCAGUGACAAUUCAUGCUAACAUUACAUGAGAUGCGGUUGGAAGUGAGGCAACAGUCUUUCUAUGUUUUUCCACUCUAACGAAGUUUCUCGAUGACCCGAAGCAAUGACCAACUCCAUUCUCUCCACCCUUUACGGAGGAGUUUCUCUUUCUUCAAAAGUCCUGUCUCAAUUCUUUUUUUUUUCUGAUUUUGCUUAGUGGGAGCCUUUACAGAAUUUGCUCCCACCGCCAUGGAUUCUUUAGUUUGGUAUUUUUACGGUUGAUUGAAUUCUUUAGCUUCCUUCCUUGGAUCAAAAAUAGGUGAAGUCUUUUCGUGGCUUGCAAUACUCAACUCCAUGUCAUGAGCUCGUGUCGCCAAUUCUUUGAAAGUGCGUGGCUUGAUUCCUUGGAGGAUAUACACAAGACCCCAAUGCAUUCCUUGGGUGCACAUCUCGACGGUACAAGUUUCUGAGAUGCGAUCUUUGCAAUCUAAACUUAAUGCUCGCCACCGAUUGAUGAAGUCCACUACUGGUUCAUCUUUUCUUUGCUUGGUGUUUGUCAACUCCAUCAUACUCACUAUACGGUGAGUGCUGUAAAAACGGUUAAGGAAUUCACCUUUAAGUUACUCCCAACUAUCGAUUGACUCAGGCUCUAAAUUUUUUUUUUUUGAGAGCCAGGUGGGAAUCUAGCUUAACAAAGAGUCUUUCUCGUCGGACCCAUAUACCCAUGAAUGAUUUUAGACUUUAUCACACCAAUUUUGGAGGAUGGUCAACAGACUUGGGAAGUCACCUUCUUCUUUCUCAUUCUAUUACCGAAAGCUCUUUUCUUAGGAAGGAUUAUUCCAGUUUUCAUUCUUAUGACCUGUGCCCUUUCACCGGCGAUGGUAAGUCUAUCGGUGCCAUCAUGAAAUCACCUUCUGAAAUACCACCAUAUAUCCACCUAUCGAAUUGGAUAACGGUAUUAGGAUCUAGCAACCACCAGAAAGAACCCGUUUUCGUUUUCUACUUUGACGCUAUGAAGUCGCUUUCUGCUUUGACACUAUGAAGUCGCUUCCUGCUUUCACUUCGAAAGUAGAACGUUCAGCGGGUGACCCUUUCCUGGCUUGAUGGGAAAUCAAAUAGAUUGAUUGGUCUUUUCCUGAAUUCACUGUCGAAGGAGAGGAAGGAGUCAGAUUUGAAGCUGUGGCAUUUUAUUCAGUCCUUGUUCUUGUAUAGUUUCACACCACUGCCAGAACCUCUAAAUCUCAUAAGAGAAUAAAGCGUAAAAAAGAAAGAUAAAGACGGCUAGCCUUCUCUCGUCUAUCUUGGUAUUUGUAAUGAGAAAUCCACGGAUAUCCGGUAUAAAGUAGGGAGGCUUCGUGUGAUAUAUAUAUAAUUCAUAGACUAAGCUCUUUGAGAGGCUAACCAGAAAUAUCUUAUUAAGAGAACUGAGUUCAAUUCGAUUAAAGGCUAGAUUAGAUUCACGCUAUGCUAGUUGCGUAUAGAAGUUCGAAGAAGCAACAAUCUUAUAUAGAAACUUGUAUUUUAUAGAAAAAGUUAGUGCGCCAGGCAAGGAAAAAUAUCAUAUAGAUAGAAGGGAUACCGCCUAAGCUGAGUUAUGAGCUCUGACACGAUGGAUCUCGAAUCCAGGCAUGCAGGUAUAAAGGAGGUGUGAGGUUACGCUCCCGUAGCCUAUCUGUCCGUCACUCCAAAGUAGUCGAGGAGUGUCUUAGGUACGUAACCCUAGCUUGACUCCUGCUCUCGAGUUACGAGCUAUGUAGUGCCCGCCAAGCACUUAAUCAACACCUGACAUUUCAUGAAGGAGAUUGUGUUAAGUGCCGCUCUAGCACCCGAAACCUUCCCAUAGCAUGGUUGAGUCAGAACCGACAAUGACGAUGCCCCUCCCAACAGUCCGAAGGUCCGAAAGGAGGCACAUCACUCCCUUUCUCUCCUCGUUCUUCUGCUGGAUUGCUGCUCCCGCGCUUUACCCCAAUGGACCACUUAGAAGAGACCGAAUUGGAUGACUCUCUAUAUCAUCUUCUUCAGGGCCCUUUCCUAUUCUUGACUUUUCAUGUUAUUCCCAUUUAGGUCAGAUUCGGAUCCCUCCAUUUUUUCCUUUUCCUUUCGCACCUUUUCCUCGAAAUGAGAAAGAAGAUGGUACACUUGAAUUGUAUUAUUUAAGUGCUUAUUGCUUGCCAAAAAUCCUACUUCUACAAUUGGUAGGUCACCGAGUUAUUCAAAUAAGUCGUUUUUUCCAUGGUUUUCCCAUGUUACAACUUUUGUACCAAUUCGGUAGAUCCAGAAUGGAUCGGUUAAACAUUCCAUUAGGUAGCCUGGUUUUGACUCUUCUGUGUAUUAUUCAUUCUCGUUGGGAUUAAAAAUACAAACUGAGGCAGAGAAGAAACAGAAUGUUGGUCUGAUGGUAAAGUACCCAGCAGAAGGUAAGGUUUGGAAAGACCACAAGAAGCUGGAGAAGGGACAGACCUCGUCAACGGAGUUUUCUGAUGAGCUUUCUUUCAAAAGGCUUGGUUCCGAAAGAUGACCUGAUGGAGGAAGAUUUGAAGGUUGGUGAGUCAAGCAGUCAGACCCAGGUUAAAGAAUAAAGAAAAUGAGCCAAAGUUUCAAGUUCUGUUAGGUAACUUACCGGAUAAGGUGGAUUGCAAGAUGAUCCUGACUUUGCCAAGAGAGUUCAUGGCAAAAACAAAUCAGAAUGAAUCUUUGGAAGGGGAUGUGGUGGAUACUCAAUAAGCUUUCCAUGAGGUAGUGAUGCCAAAAGUUCCUCGAGGUGGUUAUCUGAAGAAGGUUCUUCUCAUUAUCACUGCUCCUCGUGGAGUAGAUCCCGCAUCCAACCAAGUCUUUGACCAGGGAACGGGAGAAUUCCCACUACCACUGGCAGGCCAGCUAGGCCGUGAGCGCGGUGGGAACGGGCUUCCCAAGAAGCUAGCCCCACAAAUGGUUAAUGAAGGUUCUUUCUCAUCUCCAGACGGAUGGAACUUUCAACCAAGAGUUUCUAUUGUCACUUUUAAGAGAAAGAAAGAAGAAUGAGUGUUAUUCCUUUGAUCUUAAUUCGCCAAUGGAUCGUUGGCCAUUGAGUGUCAUGUUUUCCCUUAUGUCUUGUAUGUUUGGGCCAAUAUUGGCGUCUUCAAUUGUCAACAGCUCUUUGGGCCUCAAAACUUUUCUACUCGGGAAACCGAUUGUGAAAAAGAUAAAGGGAUCAUCGAAUCAAUAGCAAUAAUCCUGGUUUAAAGAGGCUCAUAUACAGAACGGCAAGAAAUAAUACCUGGGGCGGCAGAUUCAAUUAAUCGAAAUUCAGAAGCUGAAAUUUCACCUCUACCAUACCAAGCCGGGCAUUCCUCUUAUUAAAGGAAUCAGUGAGUGAAGACAAGAUUGGAUCUUUAAAGCUGAAGUCUUUUUCUUCAUCAAGAGUGAGUGAUCUGUCUAAGAACAAUAGAAGAGGGAUAUACCAUCGAAUCGGAUCUUAGAGAAGUCUCGGUCUUUGUACACACCCGAGACGUGUUCGUUGACAAAACCGCCAUAGGAAUUCCUACUUUUCAAUAGAGUGGAGGCGAACUAAUCAACGAGAAAGAGGCCUUACUCACUACAAACGAAUACACCACAAGAUUGAACUGCACUUAUGCCUCUCCUGCAUCAAGUUGAUCGCCCCCCCUACAUAGUGAUUCUAUCAAUCAUGUACGUAGGUAGGACCCUUCAUUCUGAUUGGUAUAUUAUGAAAAAAGAAAGCCAUUUUCACCAGGCGUACUACACUUUCCCUUGCCCAGAUGUUCGCCUUUCUAAGUCAAGUAAUAGUGACCCAUCGAAGACUGGAGCUUCGUACCAUGUUGACGAAGGCCCCCGAACUGAGGGUUCGAUCAGUAGAAGAAACGACUUUGUCUCCCCGGAAGAAGAAUUGCCCCGGUCUCUAGCCGACUAAUCCCGUUGAUCAUAUAACUGGGAGGGAACGUGUCACAUUAGAGGUGAACGAUCAGAAGUGUCCUCUAAUCACCACGAUGAGGCUGGUCCCUCUUUUAGUAGACUCAGCUAUGAAUAUUCAUUCAGAAAUGAAUGCCAGGCUCUUUCUUUCACGCUAACACCAUUUUCAACAUGCUAAAACUUUCUGUUUUGUCGAGCCCCAAGCUUGUGGUCCUCCUUUGAGUGUGGGUUCAAUUGAAUGAAUCUGUCAAGUCAAAGAAAACGUACGUAGCUGCAAGGAUGGUGCAUCGCCUAUUUAUCGUUCUUGCUCGGGAGCCAAAACGAACACGCCUGCUACCUACUGUACUGGAACUUCGACCAGGCAUUCUACCUUUGUCGAAUCGGAACCAACACCACUGCAUUGCGCUCGAACAAUUGAGCGGCCGCCGGCUUGCAACUUUCGUGCACAGAUAUAGAUUCAUUCCUCGUACCUGGUCCAGCCUCACAACCCUUCGCGGGUUGGUAAGAAGUCAGUCUUGUUUGGUAAGAUGGAAUUGGACAAAGAAAAGAGAGUGCUCAACCAGAAAAAUGGCCAACAAAUAUCGUAAUUACAUAGAUAACUGCUCCUCCCCUUCUCCUUAAGGCUUUAAGGCGAACUGUAUGGUGGCUGGAAAGAAAGACGACCUCACCUUCUCUGGUGUUAUUGAGAGCAAUUUGAGUAUCCCCUGGCUAUACUUGUAUGUAGCCAGCCAUGUUAGCUCCACAUUCUUAAAAAGGCACUCAUCAGUCAACUCGGCCCCUUUCCUAUUUCGCUUUGCCGCUUAUUAAGAGAAUAGGUCCCAAAAAAGCGGCUCGCCUUUCAUCAUCUAUACCAGCUGCCAUGCAAGAACCAAUAAAAAGGAUUUCGACACCCCUCUCCAACUAGUCAAGUGGCUGAACGCCCCUCUCUAGAUAAGAAGCAGAACGCGCCAUCACCUAUAACCCUUUCCUCUGCCGGGGACUUCCAUGAAAUGAAAACGGGCGGCAUCAUCAUAUGCUCCACUUUUGUUGCCCUGGUUUAUAUCCAGGAGUACUCCUAUGACCGAUAUGUCACCCAACCUACUUAAACAACCUAAAGGCUUGGCCCCGUCCUAUUUGGACAAUGACCCCUUAUGGUACGGCUUAGUUAGUUAUUCUCGCAGUUCAGAUAAAAUUCAGACCGGGCUGGGUUAGGUCUCUAAAAGCAUGGUUCUUGCCUCCCUCCCCCUUGAGUUCGUCCAUUCGUUGGGUGAUCCCUUGCUCUCACGUUCGAGUAUUUGCUUGUCGUUUAGGCCCAUGAGUGAGAUUUCUGCCCAUUGCAGUCACCUCCGGGGUUCUUCGCAUCUGGAUAGUACCAGGACCCUUGUGUCCCGGCCCUUGAUCAGAUAAAGCUACCCGCCUUAUGACCCACAACAAAAAAUGAGCCUUGCGACGAGACGCGGACAUUCUCAAUACUGCAGUUCCCUCCGGUCUGUUCCUGGGUUGGUUUAGGGGAACAUCCGAGCGAUUGCCUUCACGGAUCCAAACGCGCUCACAAGGCGCACAAUAAGAAUAAGACCAAUAGAGACUUCAUAAGGGACCAUUUGAGCUGCAGAUCGUAAUGCUCCUAGAAAGUCAUAUUUCUUAUAUAGAGGAGUGAAAGUUCCCAAAAAAUAAGUACUUUUUCAUAUCCUUCUAUGAACCGUACGAGCACGUCCUCUGUCAUCCCCCACCGCGCUUAUGGCUCUAUACCCCAACCCAACUUGCUCUGGCCCCGAGUCCUUCCUUUUUAUUCCUCAAUAAGAGGACCGUGGGAGCAUGGAGGGACCCGCUAUCAGGAAAAGAAUUGCAAUAGCUAAAUGGUGAUGGGCAAUAUCAAUCAGCCGCAGACCCCCAGUUACUGGAUCUAAGCUUGUUUGGCUCUUAACGAGUACAAGUGAAAGCCUCAUUUUAUCUUUAUCAAUCGUGAUGAGUUGAUAAGGGAACAACUCAACGAAAAGUAGAAGAGAUCUUAUUCGCUGAUCUUGGGGCAAAACAGGCUUUUAUCACAGCCUUGAUCACAAGAUGGGAAAAGUACCGACCUGGACCCCAAAAAAGAGAUCAGGUAUUGAACGAUCUACUUUACACAGGUGUGGGCUUACAGGGCUAGGGCUCAUAAACCCUUUCUUUCAUUUAUCAAUAGGGCCCUGCCCUAGUCGGUCACUUUUCUGCGUCGGGAUCGAUAAGUGGAAGUCAUAAAAAAGAAAUCUUUCUCUUCGCACCUCAGAUCAAGAGGAAAGGUUGCUUGUCAAGCUCAAUUUACUAACCAACUUCAUUAUUUUAAUAGGUAAUAGGAAAAUAACAUCCUCAACUAUUCCGUUAGUCAUUUAUAAUAUAAGGAAAGAGGGAAGGAUUACUAAACCUACAAGUUGUCCAUCGACUAUGCCUUUCGGCCUGAUCUUAGGCCCUGACUCACCCUCCGUGGAUGAACCUUAUGGAGGAACCCUUAGGUUUUUGGGGCAUUGGAUUCUCACCAUGGAAAGGCAGGCUGCAAAAGCGCUGACUCAAAGGCUGAUAGGAUUGAACUCAAAGGGAAAAGGAAAUAGGCUAAGCAAGAGGAUUUACCAUCGAUAGUGAAAGACGAAGUGACUCACCAAGAGCAUUGCCCAUCAGGGGCUGUGGGGGUCAGUAGUGGAAUUUGACCUACCUGAGAGGUUAAAUAGCACGUUCAGGCACUCGGGAGAGGAGGAAUCGAAUCCCUAUUAGAGUCCCACCCUAAAGAAAGGGCUAACCUCCUCGUUAGCCUGCCUAUGAAGACGAGAGUUUGAGUGAUGUUCAAGCACUCUUUCGGUCGAGUGAGUCACGUGCGUUCAAGUCAAACCAAAACAAGAGAAAUCGACCUUAGGAAGAGGUUUUCAAACCAUUUCGUUUGGAGUCCCAUCAUUCAGACGGACAAGACAGAUGCCAAGGCAAGAAGCCCCACAAACGUAAUUCAAGAGGGAAGUGCGCCUUCCACCUUUUCUCAUUAGAGUGUCUUGAUGUUAUGGAUAGUGCCACGAGAGUUGAGUUGAGAAAGGCAAUGAAGCGGAAAGGGACGUGUCCUAUUGAGAAAUGAAAGAAGAUGAGAUCAAACCCGCACUAGAACAAAAAAGAUAAGUCGGAGCUCCCUAAACGAAAACUCAGUCGGUAGGUAUAAGCUAGUAGACUAAAAUUCUAACCCACCCUUUUAAGAUUGUUUGUUUAAACUGUUGAGUAAAGCACAACGAUUGAACCAGAUCGGCCGGCCCAAAAAUUGGAUGGGCGUCAAGACACUGUUUGGCGUCGGCGGCUGACUCAAGUGCCCUCCGAAUCGCGCAAAAUGGUCGCCUACUUAAAAGCAGAUCCCGCUCUAGCUAGUUUGCUUUGAACCGUAGUCUUUCAUAUCUUUCUCGGCAAAAGCUGUGGUAUCUUAUGGACCUAACAUAGGUCACAUACCUCACGACAUAAGAUUGAAAGAUCCAAACCUUCUUCUUCGGAGUGGAAAGGGACGUGGCGGAUCGAGGAAUAAAGGGAGAGGAACAGAUUUUGAAUUAGAGUAAGGGCACGCUAAGACAUUCCUUUUCAUGGUUUCGAUCUGCUUACUUUGAAUAAAGAGAAAAAAAGAUUUAGAGCCUGAGUCAAUCGAUAGUUGGGAGCAACUUGAAGGUGAAUUCCUUAACCGUUUUUACAGCACUCGUCGUACAAUGAGUAUGAUGGAGUUGAUAAAAACCAAGCAAAGGAAAGAUGAACCAGUAGUGGACUUCAUCAAUCGGUGGCGAGCAUUAAGUUUAGAUUGCAAGGAUCACCUUUCAGAAAAUUUUGCCGUCGAGAUGUGCACCCAAGGAAUGCAUUGGGGUCUUGUGUAUAUCCUCCAAGGAAUCAAGCCACAUACUUUCAAAGAAUUGGCAACACAAGCAACUUGGGCUUGCCAAUGACCGGAAAGAAAGCACUCCGCUCAAAGAAAGGCUUGAACAACGGAUAACAGAACUUUAUGCAGCCAUUUUUGCUUUCAGCAAGUAGGGGACGCGAAUCUAUGCUUUCUAUCUUUCAAUCAGAUACCAAUUGCUUGAAUGCGUUUGAAAGCCUCGAGAUAAAUUAUAGAAAAAUGCUUUCUAGGUUCUUCUCCAUCAGGCUUUAUGGUUAACGCUUCGAUGGUUGGUGGCUUUUUGGGCUUUGAUGCUUGUCUGUCUGGUCUGUACCGGUAAAAGCGCUCUUCUUUCCAUUUAUGUGAUUUAUUGAUGGAUAUAGAUAGAACUCGAUCGCCUUUUAUGUGGAUACCCCUUUUUUACUCUCAACCAUUGCCAAGAAGAGAAAAUGCUCAAGGUUCUAUAUAUUCUUUCUUUAUUCAAUUCAUUCCUAUCCUUUUAGUUUUCAGUCCCCGGUUUUCUCUCCAAGCCAAUCGAUCGCCUUCUUAGUUAACUGCGGAACCCACCCUUUAGCCAUCUAUCUUUAGAUACGGAGGGCUUAUGAGUCACAAAAUUUGAAGCCCAAAAAACAAGGUAAGAAAGGUGGAGUGGCCUCACACAAAAAGAUUUGUCUAAGCAAUCUCAAAGAGAUUUUCAAUAAGUCAAUACCAAGAUUUGCUAGCCGGCUUGCGCUACUCCUUUCUCUUUCUCCCUUAUCCAGAUCCAACUAAAAAAAAACAGGCAGCCUGAUACAACAAUGCUUUGGUAUCUUUCUUUUUCCCAUAUUUUCUUUCUUUUACUUUUAUUGACAUAGGGUACCAAAGAAAUCUUUAUUUGAAUCAACUUUAUUUUUACUAUCGCGAUAGGUCAGCGAAGCCUGAGCGGGCGCAGAGAAGGAAAGGCCAAACACUUCGGCCUAACAGGAAUGAGCAAUGACAAAAUGAGAAGAUGAGGUGCCUCGGGUACCCCUCAAAUCUUUAUGGAAUGAUUUGACCCCUACUCCUAGAGUGCUAAGCCGUAGUAUGUUUUUUAAAAAGAUCCUUCCCAGUGUGCCAAGCCCCCUCCCAACGGUCUCAGGCCAUGGUCUGGGUCAAUGAACUAGUCUCGUCCCCCUAACCUAAGAGUUCUGGUUAUGACCAGCCGAAAACAGGUCCUCUAGAUGCCUUAUAACCGUCCUUUUUGCCCAUUCCCGCUUAUGCGUACCACACCGAACUAGCUAGAGCGGGAUCUGCUGAAGCGGAAAGAAGCAAGCUUGGGUGCUUUAUUUUUUUUUGCUUGUAGCAUGAUAUGUAGGCUGAACACAAACCCAAUCAAAGUGAAACUCUCCUAAAUCCUAUUCAUAAGUCCUUUCUUACAGGCUAUUCAAGGUCUAUUGGCUUUCUUGCUUAUGCGGUACUUCGAAGGCUAAGCCUCGUUUAUGCACCGAGAAAGAUCACCUGUAGGAAAGCUAUAUUAUACACGAACGACGGCCCCUUCUCUUUACCUUUCCUGUGAGCACAGUCUUCGCCGGUCUCAAGGUUAUCAACAAGACAAGCCCAAUAACAUGCCAAACCUUCACCCAGAGAGCUAUAAGUAAAGCGCUGGGAUAGCAAUGCCCAUAGAGGUAGUAGCAAGAGAGGCCAGGCCGGAAGGCGGCCAGUUGAAGUGAAGAUCGAGAAAAUGUUCUUCAAAGCUUGCUAAAAACCAAAAAAGAAUUGGACUAGUGUAAGGGACUUCCUUUUCAAGCUAGCAUUUUAGACUAAUGCAAUCUAUCUGGAAAAUCAAAAUGAUUAUUGAUCAAGGCGGGAAGUCUCAUUUCCCAAGAAGUAAGUUAGGAAAAAGGGGGAUCGAGGACAGCUUUCAUAUGCGAAAGCUUGGAUACUUGUUGGGUAUUGAAGUAGAAAGAUCAAAGGCGGGUGACAACCUCUCAAUUGUCACCGCCUGGCCUCUCUUGCUACCACGGAAGCACCUAGUGUGGUCAGCACCAAUCGUGUUCAACGAAGCUUACACUCAUUCACAUUGGUUCAUCCUGCUAUGCCCUGGGCCUUUUGCUCUUCUAACGUAAAAGGUGGUCGGGCAUUCGUCAAGGCCCAAGAAUCCGCUGGAUAUCUCAACGGCGGGAUUUGAUACCCGCAUCUGAUCCACCGCGUUUCUCGAUCCUUUUCUUUUAGUGCUUCAACCCGAAGCGAUAGCUUCUAGCUAGUUCAGUGGAUAAGAUGGCUGGGAUCCAACUCACUCAAGAAUAGGACGGCAUUGGUCCGCCGGCAAGCUUGUUCUGAUCUUGGACGCAGUACAUUGGAAUCCUGAAGCACCACCACGAACACUACCAUGCAUCCUCCUGCGCCCAUCCUUUUGGGCACAGGGAUGCGAGAACCAAUCCGAGUAUUCAACCAUUUUUUUAAUCUACAGGCAUGCCCCUAUCCCUGUCUCCAAGUGUGUGAUCCAUCGAUUCACUGAGUGACUUUUUCUUACUGCUGCGCUGGAGUCCCUAUCUCUUAAAGGGUUGGUGUGGCAGACUUCCCCCUUGUUUGCCGAUUGAAGAAAGCCUUAUAUGGCUUCAAACAAGCGAGAAAGGCCCUUUCUAUCGUCAUUAGUCAAGCACGCUAGCUGCAAUCAAAAAAGAGCGCUAACGAGCAAGAAAAGGGAUGCGCUAAGAAGCAAGGGCUUUCGUGCAGCUGCUGCGCCCUUGCUUCUUGCUUUCGAACCGGAGCUUGCACCCGCCGUUUGUUUCAGUCAGAAUGAGUCCCCGAGACCCCGGGACAUUGGCUUCCUCCAACAGUGAACUAUUAAGGAUCGCAUCCCGCGCAGGCGAGUUGCAGCCUAUAAUCUGAACUGAGGACGGGUUUUUGGGGUUAGCUCACCCUUGCGGGAUCACGACCCUCAAUGGAUCCUCUAUCAUCUCUUUUUUUUUGUUUUAGUUAAUUGGUCUAUGUUAUAGUAUUAUAGGAUAAUAAGAUGGUUAGAAAUCCUUUAUUUUUUCAACCUAAUCGCUCUUUUGACUUCGGAAAAAACUUUCUUUAUCAAUAUACUGUUUCUUCUACACACACAUCUCCAUAAUCGAAAAUGUUAAUAGUUAGGAUUCAUUAAAAAAAUCGAGAAUCCACUCAUGGGACAAGAAACCCUUCCCGCAUCAGGCACUAAUAAAUUUUUAACGUCUAAUUAGAUCGGGAAUCAUUCAAAUUAAGAACAAAAGCUCGUUGCUUUUUCUUUCCAUAUAAUUUAAUUGAAGCCGCAGCUCUAUCCAUUUAUUCAUUCGACCCAACUUUAUUUUGUUCCGUUCCAAGAAUUCUAACACGGUUUUAUACCCAUCUAGGAACAAUGAAAUAUUUUCAGAACUUUCCGUUGAUACGACAUGCUAUUUUUACCAUUCAUUCCCUUUCAGGAUCAGUCGUGGUCUUCCAAACUUUACCGAGAGUAUGGACAAAUCCCUCACUUCAUCCAUAUGUGUAAAAGACACUAUAAGUUAGGAUCUGUUUGCUCCAUGGUUAGAGCCUCUUUUGGUGUAUUCUUCUUUCUUUCCUUGGUCUUUCGUUCUGUUAUAUUCCUAAUAACUUUGGCUUCUGCCAUUUAAAUGGUCUUUGAAUGUAGUUCGCGGAUGUUGAGUACAAGGUGAAGAUUAUCCAAGCUUCCCUGAAUCCAUAGGUAGGCAAGAGAGAACCAAGUGAACUAAAAGAUCUUAGUAGCCAGAGGAAAAGAAAGCAAAAGCGAUUCCCGUAGUAGCGGCGGGCGAAAUGGUUGCUGCCUAAAUCAUGAAAACGGCCAUUUUAAACAUUAGGGAUCGACAUCAUCGUUUCUCCCAAGUCCUACAAUGGCCACCAGUCUAUCUUGGUAGCAGUGGAUUCUUUCACCAAAUGAGUUGAGGUAGCAAUACAUCCGAUCCGGCCUGAAAGGGAAGAGAUAAGAAAAGAAGGAAUAGGUAUAGCUCACAUCUUAAGUAUAGUUAGUUCAUUGAAUGACUUAUUAAGAAGCUAGGGCCUACUUUUGUACCAAAGGGUUGACACUUUCUUUCUGGGAUAGAUAGAAUGGGCUCCUACUCUCUUUCAAUCGUCGAUGCUAAAAACAAAGACAAAGAGUGCGUAGACCCGAGGGGAGGUUGAGUCAGCAGCUAGUUUUUUCGGAAUAGGAAUAAAGGAUGCUAUUGAAUCUUGUUGUUGAAGGGAAUUUUAGAAAUUAGAUGGAAUGAGUCUUAGUUUCCAUAUUGCCUGCACUUGUUUAGUCUACUGUCUCAUGGUUUUUAGGGAGAUAGAGAAAGCUACAAAACUCUAUUAUCUAUCUUUUAAUUUCAAAUUAUAUACCUAAGACAAGAAGAAAUUCAUUUUAUUUUCCUAAUUUCACGAAAGAAAGAACUUACUCUUGGUGAUAAAGGCUUCUUGAUUCGUAAUCAGGAAUAUAGGUCAAAAAAGAGUUAUCCACAACUUUAGUUUUGAUUCUUUCUAUAAUUAGAUCUUCUAUCACCAAAGAAAGGGCAGUCGGACUCCUUCUUUCGGGAGCUAUUUUUGGGGCUUUUAAAGCAGGUGACCUUUUCGAACGAAGUACUAUUGUGGAGAGUAUACAUGACGGCUCUCAAAAAGCUGAAACAAAAGAUCAAAUCGGAAGGAUCACUUGUACGUAAUAGAAUUGAAAUCAAGGCAAAUUCCCCUGAUGGGAGUGAACAUAGGAAUUCCCCGACGAACGAAUGCAAUACAUGGAAGGCUGGAGGAUGUAGUACUGGACAGCUUUACCUACGAUAUUUCCUACUCCUACUUUUCAUACAAAGAGAAUGGGCAGCCUGGAAAACUUGGAAUGAUUACAGAAUGCUUACCGCCUUCGGUACCUUUACCCGGGAGUAGAAAAAAAGCAAAUAAAUCUCUCUUGUACUGGAGAGUUUUCCCCCUAAGGCAUCCAUAGGCCCUGAAAACGCGACUUUAUAUGCUUGUAGGGGUCUACUCAUUUGCCUUCAAUCCUGCCUUUUGAGGAAGAGGCCGCUAAGAAAGGCCUUCCAACCAUAAUGCCUCCAUGGACGGGCGGCGUGCUCCAUUCUUAGUAUUGCACAGUUAGUCCUGCAUGAGUAGAGGCGCGCAGGAAAGCAAAUAGAAAAGUAGUGUUUCUCCGCGGCAAGCAUAUUCAAGUACCGAACAGCCCGAGGAGUAGGCUUCCUGAUGCUAAACUCUAUUCCUUAGGUUUGGAGGUUGAUAGGUUCCCCCUCAUAUUUUCCUUAACCUAAUUAAUCAACCCCGGGGGAGAAUGAUAAUGGAGAUGUAUUGUGGCCUUCUCUUGUUCAUCAACUCGAACCUCAUUCUUCUGCAGUUGAUGUUACGGAUUAGCCUCACACUUUAGGCCAGCAGCUUUGCUCAGCAUUUUCUGCCGACUGUCAGCCUAUUCAGCUGACCUCAGAGGAUUCCUGUCACAAAACACAGGUAGUAAAAAGAAGGGUAGAAAGGAGAAUCAUAGAACGAAUGAAAGAUGGAGACAAAGGGCGAAGGAUAUUCAUGAUAUUCGAAAAUAUUUCUGUUCAUUUGCUCUGCUCGCAGAGCGGUAUACCAAAAAAAAAAGAGACUUGUCGGAAAUUGCCGGGAAGUCUACACCAGCCCACUAGCAAAACAAAAGGCAAGGAACUUCUUUCACUAGUAUAGUAUCGGGAACAUGCCACAUUCCAUUGAUUCUGAGAUUUUGGGCUGAAAAAGCUCGUCGAUCCAAAUGAAUCAUUCUUCUGGUCUCUCUUUGCUCCCCACCCCGAAAUUGACCCACGGCACAGCACCCAUUCGCUUUGCGCGCGGGAAGGCAACGAAGUUCAAUUCAUGAGACCGCAACGCAGCAAAGCAGAGCAGCCAUUUUGGAUCGUCUUCUGCCCAAUGCGGUACCCCCCAUUUUUUUUUCCCAUUGGGUUUACCUUGUUCACAGGUCGACCCCAUGGCAGGAAAAAAAGGCGAUAUUGUGCUAUACUUCGGUGAUAUCUUUCCUACCGAGACACGCAAACUCCCAUCAUGUCCUAGAUGACAUUCCGUGAAUCGAAAGGGGAAGCCUACUCUUCUAUCAGCUCCUUGACAGUCAGUCUGAGUCAAGAUUUUACUUAGUGAUCCGAAGGAGCAAUUUGAAUUACUGCAGUAUGGGUAUUAUCGAGAGUGUGAUCCCCUCCUCAAAGCACCCUUUAGCUUUCCCAAGUCUGGUCUUGAGACCUUGCGGGAUAGUCCUAUUAGUGACUUUUGCCAGUUCCAAAUUCUAUCUCGGUAGGACAUGUAUUUCUAUUACUAUGAAAUUCAUAAAUGAAGUAGUUAAUGGUAGGGUUACAUGCAAUCAUAUCCCAUCUUGACUGGGCAUGUAUAUUUCUAGGCUUUCACAAUUUUGGUUUGUAUAUUCAUAAUGAUACCAUGGAGUUAAACUUCCGUUUGUCCAUAUUUCGAUAAAAAGUAUCUCUUGUUUUUCAUUUCCAUUCCCAUAAGAAUGAAUACUAUGAUUCGUGCUUUUGUAGACCAGCUAGUAUACAUUAAAGAAAGUGGCUUCCUCAAUUAAACUAGCUUCCUCAUCUUCUCUUCCCCCCAACAACUUCACUCCGGAGGAAUCGCAUAUUCUUAAGCGAGAAGAUCAGACUCUUAUUAUUGAAAUUCCAUUGUUUGCACGUAAUAGCUCAUUCUCUAAAUUUUUUUUUAUGCUCAAUCUUUCCGCUUUCCCUUUCUAUUUGACCAGGUCAAGGCUGCUGUAAGCAGUUCUGAUCUCAAGCACCUAUCACAGUUUUCGAGUAGCUCUGAUCCACCGGAGCAGUUACAAUUGCUUCAGCUGGAGCUGCGACAAUUGCUUUAGCAGGCGACAGAUAUGGCCAUAUCUUUUUGAUAAAUGUGGUAUCGAGGUUCAGUUUAUUUGGAAAAGAGGUCAAUCUUAGGGGAGACCAUUCGAAUGGUUUAAUUGAUGACUUCGCGGAUCUUGGUCUAUUUGAGAUUGUUCCUUUUAAUCGUAAUUAAAGAUGUUUUCUUAUCUCUCAUAUCUUUUCUGAAAAAGAAGAACCUAAUGGAUCGAACUCAUAUAUUGUACCUGGUAGUUUAAAUCAGAUCUCUAUUUCGGUACAAUGAGAAGGGGGGCUUCACCUGAUCACUCUGAAUCCGCUGAUCAGGAAGAGAGAAAGGAAGAGGUUUUUUCUUUAGAUAAAGCAGAAGCUCGUUCCUGGCCUCUUUGGCAGUAGCUAAUCUGAAUUCAUAACCUGCCAUCUUUGGGCAGGAGUCAUCAGAUCUUGACCAGGCAAAGGAGCGAUCGACACUCGCUCGCAAGUUUUCAGAAGUGGUAAGCGCAAGGACAAGUUGAUUCAGAAAGGGGAAGAGGAGUAGCCUAGCCUGGUUCUUAUUUGUUUUCCUUAGCGGUAUAGUACGGUACAUGGGAAAUCACAAUCAGAGAGAAGUAACGAUAUGAUAGAUCCGCAGGAAAUCGUGAAGUACAUGAAUUCUCUAUCUCUUUCCUUAGCUGAGAGCGAGGGAGCACACUCUCGACAUGCAGGCAUAUCUCAUUGAAUCAAUCUUUUUUGCCACAUCGCGUAUAAGGGGAAUCAAACCGUCUCUGCUGCUGGCGGGCAAUUAUAUAAUGUACUACUUCGAUCCAGCAACUUCUUAGGAGUAGGUUUUGGCUUGGGAAAAACCCGUGGAUGAGCGAGAAUAUAUGAAUAUUUUUGUUAGAAGGUUUCCCCUUAUAGUCUUUUUUGUUAAAAUGAAUGCGGAUGGGUGCCUGCUUUCUUUGAGAAUUUGGAUCGUACAACCAAGAAUGUGGCUGAAUUCUGGGCCAUCUACCGUGGCCUUAUGUUGGCAUGGGAUUUGGGUUACAAGCAGGUCAUUCUUGAAACAGAUUUGGAAUAUUGUUUGCAUGCUGUGAUUCAUUUGAUUUCCUCUAAUCACCCUCAAGCACAACUGAUCCAAGCUUGCAGGAAUCUUGUUCAAAGGGAUUGGCAGUGCUUUUGUAAGCAUACUCAUAGAGAAGAGAGAAGGUAAGAUCGCGGCCGACUGGUUGGCAUCUAAAGCUCUAAAGCAGUCGCCGGGUUAUCAAUAGCUUUUGACCUGUUUGCCUGGAUAUAAGAUACCUAAAAAAGAAGAAAAAAAGGAAAAUGUUAUUGUAAAUGGCACGAGAAAUGGACUUACUCUACAAAUAAUUAUGUAAAUUGAAGGAAUCUAAUUCAAGAUUACUUGGACAAAGGUUUGUUCCAGAUAGCAGAGACCAAUGGGAAUCGAGACAUCACUAUUUGCGGGAGCAGUAGAGAUCAAUAUGAUGUCUGCUGACUUAAGGAAGUUGUCUAACCCACAAAAAGAGUUGGAGGCGGCUGAGCACAUCCCAUCCCACAAGAGUCAAGCCCAUAAAGAGUGGUAAGUCAUUCGCCAAGGCCAUUACCAACAACAGGAUUAUGUUCGAGAUGUCAACUUGAAAUCUUGAUGAAUCAAGGAGAAAAGCAUCUACCCUUUCAAAAAAAGGAUGGAAUGGCGACCUGUGGUAAGAGAGCCUUUAGCACAAGAGCGAAGGAUGACGACUGAUUGAAUUGCCCUCUCUACUCAAUUAAUUGAAUAUAGUUGCGUGAAGCAGCAUAAGUGCUAACCUGAUCUAAGGAAAGAGAGGGAAUGUGAAAGCAAGUCUAUUUCGAGGCCUUAAGCGUCUGUAGGCCUAUCAGCCAUGAAGUACGCAUAAGCGGGAAUGGGCAAAAAGGACGGUUAUAAGGCAUCUAGAGGACCUAUUUUCGGCUGGUCAUAACCAAAACUCUUAGGUUAGGGGACGAGACUAGUUCAUUGACCCAGACCAUGGCCUGAGACCGUUGGGAGGGGGCUUGGCACACUGGGAAGGAUCUUCUUAGAAAACAUACUAUGGCUUAGCACGCUAGGAGUGGAGGUCAAAUUACUCCAUAAAGAUUGGAGGGAAUAAUGAUUUUCACUAUUCGCCAAAGUUGUAGAUAAGAGAAGGGCUUAGCGCAAGGAAAACAAGCUAGCCAAGAUUGGUAAGUCUAGAACAGAAUCCAGAGGGCAUGGUUUGCUAAAUUUAGUCGACGUUCUUUCUGCAUAUGGGCUGAAGCAAACUGAGGUUGAUCAUUCAGUAUUUGUUCGUCAUAUCCAAAGUGGAUCUCUAAUCCUUGCUGUCUAUGUUGAUGAUAUUGUAAUUACAGGUAGUGAGAGGACAGGAAUUGUUGACCUGAAACAGUAUUUUAGUAAACACUUUUUUACCAAGGAUCUUGGAAAGCUUGGAUACUUGUUGGGUAUUGAAGUAGCAAGAUCAAAGGCGGGAAUAUCACUUUAUCAAAGAAAGUAUGUUACAGACUUUUUAGAGCAGACCGGAUUGUUGGGAGAAAUGUAGAUACUCCUAUGGAUCCGACUUUGAAAUUCAGUAAGGAUGAUGGCCUGCUCUUUGAAAAUCCAGAGAGUUAUAGAAGUUUGGUUGGAGAGAUUAUCUAUCUGACUGUAACCCGACCAGAUCUAACCCUUGAUCUUGGAGUGGUUAGUCAAUUCAUGCAGAAUCCAAGACAAGAUCACUGGGAGGCUUUUUGUCCUAUCUUGAGGUAUCUCAAGAAAACUCCAGGAAAAGGAUUGUUUUUUAAAAGAAAAGAUCCAAUUAUUUCACAUGGAAGGAGAUAUCUCUCUCUUAUUGUCUUAGCCUUUCGAGUUGAAGGUACGCCGUUAGGCUCAUUCUGCUCUCAUUCCUGGUCAAUGUCAAAUUCUUUCUAAAAAAGAGGGCAUUCACAGGCUAUUCUUUAUGCGUGGGUGUGAAUAUCUUAACUUCUGAUUCAAUUAUUCGAGGAGCAGAGGGUUUAGGUUUUGGUGAAAAGGUCUUAGGCAUCUUUCGAUGAGAAGGAAAUAGUCUAUGUCAGAAAUCGGCUUCUCAGCCUAGCUAAAGAAAGUAAGGCAGCACUAUUCGCUUGAAGUAAAGUGUCACUUGCUUGCACAAGCCCUUUUUUCUUGAAGCUCUCUUCCCGUGUAGAUGAGGGACUAUUCCCACUACGUGCUAACUAGAAAGAUCAUAAGAGAAGAUGUCAUCAAAUUGGCUAUUAGAGAUUGAAAGCGAGCUCCUGACUCGAGGGUGAGAAUUUGUAGUUGUUCUGUUAAAGUUUCGGUAGGUGUAGGAGUUGUUGCUUUCAAGAAUUAUCCAGACCCAUAAAGGAUAAUGACAAAAGUCUAGAUUUCACUCUUUCAAGAUCGAAUUUCUAGUUUAGAGUUUCGUACCCAGGCAUGGAAUCCACUUGCCAACUGAUCCGAGUUUGAAUUGGGGAACAAACGAUCUAAGUAAGGAGGUAGCUCCAGGAAGGUAGUUCUUUGACCCAGUUCAGUGAGACCGGGGCUUAGCUCUUUGAAGCAGAUGUUUAAGGAAGUUUCAAAAUGCUUAAUCGAAAGACUAAGGAAGAAGAGCUGCUUUUAUUUAAGCGGAAUCAGAGCUCUUGGGUAAGAAGGCAGGAAGAAGUUCACACCAGGAUUGAAGAAGCUGGUUUGAUAGAACCAGGGUCAGUGAAAGACGAUGGAAAAGGAUGCUUGUAAGCAUGAUCCUCUAUACUCUCUCUUUCUAUCAUCAGAGAAUUAAUCUCGUAGCCUAGCUACGUAGCAGGCUCAGAGCCUUUUGAUGGAGGAAAAACCUCGGCUAUAGAAUCUGCUGCUCUAGCCACUGUUCUGUUACCCGGUCUUGGUGGUGUAGUUAUAGGAGGUGCCGUAACUUUAAACUCUUUUUUCGAGAUGAGAAUCAUAGACUUUUUUAUUUCCUAAGAAAGGGAAUCGAUGUGCCUUCGACCUGACUUUCAGAAAUAGGAUUCCGAGAAGGUGGAGUUCAGUAACCCAGUUCAGUGACCGAGGAGAUGUUGAGAAGAAGGCAAUGAAUGGAAUGGUCCGAAAGUCGCUAUAGAAGAUCAAAUGAGUCUUAGUGAAGCUAGUCCAUUAAUUAGAUAGAUCACCUGUGCGUACGUUAUCUAUAAUAAGAAAAAACCUGGCUCCAGGUAGCAAAAGGGAGUAGCAAAGAGGAAAUUCGUUAGGAGAGAAGACCAGGAUUCCCUUGGUCCUUCUAAAGACCAGCAGCAUACCUGGAUUUACCGUCCAUCUAGAGAAUACCAGUCAUCCAGCU
rnacentral:lncRNA from 1 species